rnacentral:tmRNA from 1 species
GGGCCUGUACUGGUUUCGACGGGCUAUGUGAAGUGAUGUAAGCAUACCGUGGGUAGGCACGUUAAAACCUGAGGUUUAUUAAAUUAAACGCAAACACAAAUUAUGCUUUCGCUUGCUAGCAUAAGCAAGUAAUCAAUUAAUUUUGAUUUAUCUCUUAUAAUGCUUGCCUACGUGCGUUAUAAGGGAAAGAGAGUAGGCUGUGAUGAUUAUACUCACUCGGUAUAUGAGUCAAGAUUAAUGAGUUAGUGUAUACUUGGUUUUGUUUUUCUUCCAAUUAUGCAUAAAAACUAAAUAGAAAAACUAAGUAUGUAGAAAACAAAAUGGAACGUUUCUCGGACAGGGUUUCGACUACCCUCAGGUCCACCA